GAUGGGGUCAUCAAUGGGUAGCAUGUUUGCCUAAAAUGCAUGAAGUCCUGGGUUCAAACCCCAGCACCCUCA
rnacentral:tRNA from 1 species